UACGGAGGGAGCUAGCGUUGUUCGGAAUUACUGGGCGUAAAGCGCGCGUAGGCGGCUUUGUAAGUUAGAGGUGAAAGCCCGGGGCUCAACCCCGGAAUUGCCUUUAAGACUGCAUCGCUAGAAUCCGGGAGAGGUGAGUGGAAUUCCCAGUGUAGCGGUGAAAUGCGUAGAUAUUGGGAGGAACACCAGUGGCGAAGGCGGCUCACUGGACCGGUACUGACGCUGAGGCGCGAAAGCGUGGGGAGCAAACAGG
rnacentral:rRNA from 1 species